GCCGGAACCCGAGCCCGCCCCUCUCAAGGGACUCUCCCCGGGCCCGGCCAUUGGUCCGGUAUGGAAGCGGGGCGGGACCUUAGCCCUUGACAGCAGUUGUGACGGGGAGGAUUGGACCGCCCGGAUUAGGGCUAAUUAAGGGUGGAUGGGUGGCGGGCGGGGAAGUGCGGGUGGCUAAAUAGGUGCCUGAUAACUCAGUUAACUUCCCUCUUGGCUUUUCCCUUUGACCUUAACACUUUUGGGGUUAUCUCUGAGGCGAAUGCUAAAGGAGACGCUCCAGGACUCGACCUCUGAAGGUCCUUGGAGCCAAUUCCGUAAUAUGAUCAUGGAAACUGAUCAUUGCCUGAUCCUUCUACCGCCUUGGCGCGCUUUCUUGAGGAAUGUCUUUGGUUAAUGGCUUCACGGCCAUGGAGGUGACAUCAUGUGGACAACAGGCUAGGAUGCCAGAGUUAGCUGCUCGGUGGAGAUCAUUUGAGGUCAGCAGAGGCCACGAUAUUAUAGAUACUAACAGACCCCGAUAUGGGGAGAAAAGCAAAAGCAGGAGCCUGAAUAUCCAGUGCUUUGUGAGCUGUCAGUUCUGUGUGUAAUGGCAGGAAAUCCAAGUCUUAACUGCGCCCUUACUAUGAAGGCUUUCCGAGCCAGCCACAGCUUCUGGGUCAUGGGCAUUAGUCUCACUGCCACUCUGGUCACGUAACCCCACACAGCAGCUCACCCCACUUUAGCCACAGAUUAGGAGCCGCAGACUAGCCCCUCAUCGAAGAUCCCCUUUGGUCACAUUCUCUAGGGCCUCUGGGCCACUUCUCCUACUUGGCAGUCUUCUAUGCUCUCUUAUCUUGUGCUCCCCAGAGACCAUGACACGACCCUGAAGUGAUAUUCCGCACCACUUUCUAAAUCCUCUGGGUAGACGAGGCUUCAGGACUUUUGUGCCUCCCUAAGCCUGUCGUAGUCAUUGACCCCAAGGACAAGAGCAUCUUAUCUACAAACCUCCAGCCCCAAGUGAAAAGCCUUUUUUUUUUUUGGAGACAGAUCUUGCUCUGUAGCUGAGGCUGGAUUGCAGUGGUGCGAUCUCAGCCUCCUGAGUAGCUGGGAUUAUAGGCGCCCGCCACCACGCCCAGCUAAUUUUUGUAUUCUUAGUAGAGAUGGGGUUUUGCCAUGUUGGUCAGACUGGUCUCGAAAUCCUGACCUCAGGUGAUCCACCCGCCUCGGGCUCCCAAAGUACUGGGAUUACAGGCGUGAGCCACCGUGCCCAGCUGUGAAUAGCCCUUUUAUCUCACCACAUAGCAGUAACAAGGAUCACAGGUCUCAGUAUCCACCUAAGCCAGGUUUAGAUAGAUCUCCUUUACAAAGAACCGAGUUUCUAGCUUGGACUUGGAAAAAGAGAUAGAAAACCCCUAUUUUCUCUUCUUAAUUUUCUUUAUACUCAGCUUCACACCUAACAACCAAUGCUCUUCUGGCCUGGGGAUCAGAUAGUUAGGUCUCAGGAAAAAACUUUAGGCAAUGCUCCAGAGGAGCACUGACCUCAGCUACCUUUGAAGACCCCGGUGACUUCAAAGCUUCACUGAUCAAUAUUUGCUCCCCAUUUAGCAUCUCAUAAAGGAUUUCCACAUAACCCUAGAAUAGUCU
rnacentral:lncRNA from 10 species